rnacentral:tRNA from 1 species
GUUUAAAUAGCUUAAAUAAAGAGCGCAACGUUGAAGUUGUUGAAGUGGUAAAUUACCUUUAAACA